rnacentral:rRNA from 1 species
GAUGAACGCUGGCGGCGUGCCUAAUACAUGCAAGUCGAGCGAACAGACGAGGAGCUUGCUCCUCUGACGUUAGCGGCGGACGGGUGAGUAACACGUGGAUAACCUACCUAUAAGACUGGGAUAACUUCGGGAAACCGGAGCUAAUACCGGAUAAUAUAUUGAACCGCAUGGUUCAAUAGUGAAAGACGGUUUUGCUGUCACUUAUAGAUGGAUCCGCGCCGCAUUAGCUAGUUGGUAAGGUAACGGCUUACCAAGGCGACGAUGCGUAGCCGACCUGAGAGGGGGAACGCCCACACAGGAACUGAGCCGCGGGCCAGACUCCUAGGGGAGGCAGAGAGAGGGAAUCUUCCGAAAUGGGCGAAAGCCUGAAGGAGGAACGCCGGGGGAGUGAAGAAGGGCUUCGGAUCGUAAAACUUUUUUAUUGGGGAAAAACAAAUGUGUAAGUAACUAAGCCCGUGUUGACGGAACCUAAAAAGAAAGCCCCGGCUAACUACGG